UGGCUCAGGACCGAACGCUGGCGGCGUGCUUAACACAUGCAAGUCGAACGAAACACCUUAUUUGAUUUUCUUCGGAACUGAAGAUUUGGUGAUUGAGUGGCGGACGGGUGAGUAACGCGUGGGUAACCUGCCCUGUACAGGGGGAUAACAGUCAGAAAUGACUGCUAAUACCGCAUAAGACCACAGCACCGCAUGGUGCAGGGGUAAAAACUCCGGUGGUACAGGAUGGACCCGCGUCUGAUUAGCUGGUUGGUGAGGUAACGGCUCACCAAGGCGACGAUCAGUAGCCGGCUUGAGAGAGUGAACGGCCACAUUGGGACUGAGACACG
rnacentral:rRNA from 1 species